GUGCUCAUUUCUACAGCACAUAUACUAAAAUUGGAAUGAUACAGGGAUUAGCAUGGCCCCUUUGUAAGGAUGACAUGCAAAUUCACGAAGCAUUCCACAUUUAA
ensembl:snRNA U6 U6 spliceosomal RNA